UAGAUGGCGACCGGCGCACGGGUGAGUAACACGUAUCCAACCUGCCGAUAACUCGGGGAUAGCCUUUCGAAAGAAAGAUUAAUACCCGAUGGUAUAAUAAAGCCGCAUGGUUUAAUUAUUAAAGAAUUUCGGUUAUCGAUGGGGAUGCGUUCCAUUAGGCAGUUGGUGAGGUAACGGCUCACCAAGCCUUCGAUGGAUAGGGGUUCUGAGAGGAAGGUCCCCCACAUUGGAACUGAGACACGGUCCAA
rnacentral:rRNA from 1 species